rnacentral:tRNA from 1 species
GGCGAAAAUAAUGGUUCAGAACAUAAUCACUACCUUGACAGGGUAGAGGUCGCUGGUUCGAGCCCAGUCGGAGUCA